rnacentral:lncRNA from 1 species
UUUAAGUAUUUUGAUAAUCGUAAAAUUGUAUCAAUAUAUUCUCCACACAAAUAAUCUAUACUACACUAGCUAACAUCACCAAAGUUAUUAACCUCUCACAUGAUAUUUUUUACAUAUAGAUGGAAAAUGAUUCAUGUAAUGUUUGCCAGCUAUCAAAAGUUGGAAGUAGCCAUUUAGCCCCAUGUUCACGUGAUAUGCUAUAACAAACACCUUUUGUUUUCUUCUCAUACUCCUUCCAUCACUAUUCCUAUAUAUCACCUUCACUCCUUUCUUUUACAAUCACUCCACUUCACUCUAGUUUCCCUUUUCUCUCUUAACAUGGAGUCCUCCUCAAAGUUCUAUGCUUAUCUCAUCAUUUGCAUGCUUUUCAUCUCCUCAGCUACACCUAUUCUUGGUUGUGGCUAUUGUGGAAAACCACAUAAAAAACACAAACCAGGUAAAAAACCAAUCGUCACUCCACCAACCGUUAAACCACCAACGGUAAAACCACCUGUCACAAUACCACCUAUCACAGUCCCUCCCGUUGUACCUCUUCCACCUCUUCCAGUACCUCCCGUCACCGUUCCUCCGGUUGUACCUCUUCCACAUGUUCCAAUCCCUCCAGUUGUACCUCUUCCACAUGUUCCAAUCCCUCCGGUCACAGUGCCUCCAGUUGUACCUCUUCCACAUGUUCCAAUCCCUCCGGUCACAGUCCCUCCAGUUGUACCUCUUCCACAUGUUCCAAUCCCUCCAGUCACAGUCCCUCCGGUUGUACCUCUUCCACAUGUUCCAAUCCCUCCCGUCACCGUUCCUCCGGUGCUUAAUCCACCAAGCACAGGAGGAACUCCACCAAAGAAAGGAGGGGGUGCAUGUCCACCACCAUCAACCACACCUACACCUAAACCAUCACAUGAAACUUGUCCAAUUGACACAUUGAAACUAGGUGCUUGUGUUGAUUUACUCGGCGGUUUGGUUCACAUUGGACUUGGUGACCCUGCUG